UACGAAGGGGGCGAGCGUUGCUCGGAAUCACUGGGCGUAAAGCGCACGUAGGCGGAUUGCUAAGUCAGGGGUGAAAUCCUGGAGCUCAACUCCAGAACUGCCUUUGAUACUGGCGACCUUGAGUCCGGGAGAGGUGAGUGGAACUGCGAGUGUAGAGGUGAAAUUCGUAGAUAUUCGCAAGAACACCAGUCGGCGAAGGCGGCUCACUG
rnacentral:rRNA from 1 species